rfam:Triticum aestivum genome assembly, contig: Triticum_aestivum_CS42_TGACv1_scaffold_225929_3B
AUGAUACUCCCUCCGUCCGGAAAUACUUGUCAUCAAAAUGGACAAAAGUGGAUGUAUCUAGAACUAAAAUACAUCUAGAUACAUCCCCUUUUAUUCAUUUUGAUGACAAGUAUUUCCGGACGGAGGGAGUAUAUG